AACCACGCAAGCUCUUCCAAGUGGACAGUUUCCUAGGAUCAGGGCCCUGGAUUCCAGACUAGGCUGACACAUUUUCUGAGCACCCAGAAAGGAUCUGAGAGCCAGAGCAGCCCAUAGCCAGCAGGGGGAAGAAACUUAACUAUGCUAAAGAAAAGGGAACGACUAAGGGAACUGGAGGCUACUGGGAGAGGGAGGAAACGGGAGUCUAUAUAAGGAGGAAGUGAGGCAACACCCAAGAAGACUGAGAGGCGGAAGGAGUAACAGGGGAAAAAACAGCUCCAGAAAGAGGCAGGAGGAAAAUCAAUCACAUUGGGGUAAAGGAGAGAACUGUGUACCAACUGAGACUGCCACCCUAGGAAACUUUGGACUUACCUGAGAGGUCAAAGAACACAUGGGAAAAUGGGACAAAAGAUUUCAGGUGUUGAUGAUGCUAAACUAAAUAUUGAUACACCCCUUUUAUAAGUACCCCUACAUUCUCUUGGGAGUCUUUUCUCCCCCCAGCUUUUCUGCGGUGGUCAGGUCAUCCUGCCCUCCCCCUCUUGUCCUGGACAAUGGCUUGGGGACAUUUGUAGUUGGGAGAUUUGGGGCUUAGCUGGAAGGCCAAGUCAACGUAGUGCUUGUCUGGUGAAUUCCCUGGAGCUGCUGAGGGUGAUAUUUGCAGCAACAUUCUGAAUGGAUGGACGUGGGGCAAGAUCACAUCUUACAAGGCAGGGAAAAGGAUGUUGCAGUAAUCAAGGUGUGAGAUGAUGAGAGUUUUAGCUGUGUGGCUGAACAGGAAAGACCAUAGUUCAGAGAUGUUGUGCAGAAGGAAACUGCAAGAUUUAGGUGUAAUCUGGAUGUGAGGACCUGGAGAGAGAGGGCCAAGUCAAAGAUGGUGUCUAGAUUACAGGCUGGAGUGACAAGCAAGAUGGUGGUGUGAUCA